UACAGAGGGUGCGAGCGUUAAUCGGAAUUACUGGGCGUAAAGCGCGCGUAGACGGUUUUGUAAGUCAGAGUGUGAAAUCCCUGGGCUCAACCUGGGAACUGCAUUUGAGACUGCAUGGCUAGAGUAUCGAAGAGGGAAGUGGAAUUUCCGGUGUAGCGGUGAAAUGCGUAGAUAUCAGGAGGAACACCGGUGGUGUAAACGGCUUUCUGGACCAUAACUGACGCUGAGGCACGAAAGCGUGGGUAGCAAACAGG
rnacentral:rRNA from 1 species